GAUGAAGAACGUAGCGAAAUGCGAUACGUAAUGUGAAUUGCAGAAUUCAGUGAAUCAUCGAGUCUUUGAACGCACAUUGCGCCCUCUGGUAUUCCGGAGGGCAUGCCUGUCCGAGCGUCAUUGCUGCCCUCAAGCACGGCUUGUGUGUUGGGCUCCGUCCCCCGAUCCCGGGGGACGGGCCCGAAAGGCAGCGGCGGCACCGCGUCCGGUCCUCGAGCGUAUGGGGCUUUGUCACCCGCUCUGUAGGCCCGGCCGGCGCUUGCCGAUCAACCAAAUUUUUAUCCAGGUUAACCUCGGAUCAGGUAGGGAUACCCGCUGAACUUAAGCAUAUCAAUAAGCGGAGGA
rnacentral:misc_RNA from 1 species